UCUGACUUGAAGCAAAUAAGCGCGAAAAAAAGGCGCCCUCAAGAGGAAGUCAGUUGGAAGGAUUGUCGGUGGAAAACUGCAAAAGUCGAGUCGCGAAAUUUGAAAGUGGGCAGAAAAUAGUGGUUGAGUGGCAAGUGCACUAUCACCAUUAAGAGUAACUGGCUGUUGACAACCUAUACAGGUGUGUUGCAGGUCUUACGAUGGGGUGGAGCUGAAGAGGC